UCCCUGGUGGUCUAGUGGCUAAGGAUCCUGCACUCUCACCGCCAUGGCUGGGGUUCGAUUCCCAAGCAGGGAA